GUUCUCAGUGAAACGACACAAACACGUUGCUUCAGAACUGGCUAAGAGAUGUGCAUGGAGGAAGUUGGCUAGCUGGUUCAGCAUGAUUAGCACCCUUGGAAGCAGAAAGAGUUUUCACGGUGCCAUAUUGUCGGUGGUUUAAAGAGGAGAGAAUAAA